rnacentral:rRNA from 1 species
UACGAAGGGGGCUAGCGUUGCUCGGAAUCACUGGGCGUAAAGGGUGCGUAGGCGGGUCUUUAAGGCAGAGGUGAAAUCCUGGAGCUCAACUCCAGAACUGCCUUUGAUACUGAGGAUCUUGAGUACGGGAGAGGUGAGUGGAACUGCGAGUGUAGAGGUGAAAUUCGUAGAUAUUCGCAAGAACACCAGUGGCGAAGGCGGCUCACUGGCCCGUAACUGACGCUGAGGCACGAAAGCGUGGGGAGCAAACAGG